rnacentral:rRNA from 1 species
GAUGAACGCUGGCGGCGUGCCUAAUACAUGCAAGUCGAGCGAACAGACGAGGAGCUUGCUCCUCUGACGUUAGCGGCGGACGGGUGAGUAACACGUGGAUAACCUACCUAUAAGACUGGGAUAACUUCGGGAAACCGGAGCUAAUACCGGAUAAUAUAUUGAACCGCAUGGUUCAAUAGUGAAAGACGGUUUUGCUGCCACUUAUAGAUGGAUCCGCGCCGCAUUAGCUAGUUGGUAAGGUAACGGCUUACCAAGGCAACGAUGCGUAGCCGACCUGAGAGGGUGAUCGGCCACACUGGAACUGAGACACGGUCCAGACUCCUACGGGAGGCAGCAGUAGGGAAUCUUCCGCAAUGGGCGAAAGCCUGACGGAGCAACGCCGCGUGAGUGAUGAAGGUCUUCGGAUCGUAAAACUCUGUUAUUAGGGAAGAACAAAUGUGUAAGUAACUAUGCACGUCUUGACGGUACCUAAUCAGAAGGCCACGGCUAACUACGUG